rnacentral:rRNA from 1 species
AAAUUGAAGAGUUUGAUCAUGGCUCAGAUUGAACGCUGGCGGCAGGCCUAACACAUGCAAGUCGAACGGUAACAGAAAGCAGCUUGCUGCUUUGCUGACGAGUGGCGGACGGGUGAGUAAUGUCUGGGAAACUGCCUGAUGGAGGGGGAUAACUACUGGAAACGGUAGCUAAUACCGCAUAACGUCGCAAGACCAAAGAGGGGGACCUUCGGGCCUCUUGCCAUCGGAUGUGCCCAGAUGGGAUUAGCUAGUAGGUGGGGUAAC